rnacentral:rRNA from 1 species
UACACACCGCCCGUCACACCAUGGGAGUUGGUUCUACCUGAAGACGGUGCGCUAACCGCAAGGAGGCAGCCGGCCACGGUAGGGUCAGCGACUGGGGUGAAGUCGUAACAAGGUACCC